GUAGGUGGCAAGCGUUGUCCGGAAUUAUUGGGCGUAAAGCGCGCGCAGGCGGUUCUUUAAGUCUGAUGUGAAAGCCCACGGCUCAACCGUGGAGGGUCAUUGGAAACUGGAGAACUUGAGUACAGAAGAGGAAAGCGGAAUUCCACGUGUAGCGGUGAAAUGCGUAGAGAUGUGGAGGAACACCAGUGGCGAAGGCGGCUUUCUGGUCUGUAACUGACGCUGAGGCGCGAAAGCGUGGGGAGCAAACAGGGAUUAGAUACCCUGGUAGUCCACGCCGUAAACGAUGAGUGCUAAGUGCUAGGGGGUUUCCGCCCCCUUAGUGCUGCAGCUAACGCAUUAAGCACUCCGCCUGGGGAGUACGGCCGCAAGGCUG
rnacentral:rRNA from 1 species